UUUUAUGCCAGAACUUAGACACACUAACCCAUUUUUCAAUUUAUUUGAUAAUUAAUAAAUCUUCCAUUUUCAGAACUAGAAAAAAGAGAGAGAUGAGAAAUUGAAAAGAAGCCAUUAUUAGAUCUAAUAUAAAAAACUGAAGAAAGAUGCUUGUUUGCACAGCCAAGAUCCCCAACUGCUCUUAUUUUUUUUUAUUUUUUGGAGAUGGAGAUUCAGACGUCAACACAUGUCUGAAUGAAGAAGAAGACAGAGAUCUGGUUUCUUUUGUUGGGAGGUAAGUGUACAGCUGAGUAAAGAUCAUUGGAUUGGGGAGUAUCAGAUCCCAUCAUCUCUUAAAACUUCAUAGGUCAAAAACUGAGAAUCCCUUACCAGUAAUUAUCUAAUGUUGUCUUUUUAGCAUCAAAAGAAUGUCGUCUUCGUACUCUGAUGCGCUCUGGCUGAUCAAAUGCAACAUGUGAUGAAAAAAAAGUGAUGGACUUGGUUCAUAAGAAUUAACGGGUUCUAAUCAAUGUGAAACAUGGAAGAUUGAUUCAUGAGAAGGAGUUGGUGAAGUGUCUAGUGGAAGUGUGAAUUGUAUUGCAUAUUUAGGCACAUGUUUUUGUUUAACUAGCAUUGUCAAUGAAUCACUUAGUAACAUAUGUUAUUUGAUACUUCUAAUGUUAGUUGAUAUGUAAAUGUUACAGUCUAAAAUUAUAUGAUGUAAUGAAUGUUACUGUCUAAAUUUAUCAGUAGAU